UACGUAGGGUGCGAGCGUUAAUCGGAAUUACUGGGCGUAAAGCGUGCGCAGGCGGUUUUGUAAGCCAGAUGUGAAAUCCCCGGGCUUAACCUGGGAAUGGCAUUUGGGACUGCAAGGCUGGAGUGCGGCAGAGGAGACUGGAAUUCCUGGUGUAGCAGUGAAAUGCGUAGAUAUCAGGAGGAAUACCAAUGGCGAAGGCAGGUCUCUGGGCUGACACUGACGCUCAUGCACGAAAGCGUGGGGAGCAAACAGG
rnacentral:rRNA from 1 species